GUGCAUUUCUUCAGAUGGCAGUAGUAGCUCAGGGAAGACGUGGAGCAGAUUGAUUUUUCAACAGAUUGUCUGUCUCAUAAUAAAUGUAAAAAACAACA